rnacentral:rRNA from 1 species
AGAGUUUGAUCCUGGCUCAGGAUGAACGCUGGCGGUAUGCCUAACACAUGCGAGUCGUACGAGAGUUUUUAACUCUAGUGGCGGACGGGUGAGUAACACGUGAGAAUUUGCCUUUAGGAGGGGGAUAACAAUUGGAAACGAAUGCUAAUACCCCAUAUGCUUUCGAGUGAAAUGAAUUUUUUAUUUGCCUAAAGAGAAGCUCGCGGCUGAUUAGCUUGUUGGUAAGGUAAGAGCUUACCAAGGCGACGAUCAGUAUCUGGUUUGAGAGGACGAUCAGACACACUGGAACUGAGACACGGUCCAGACUCCUACGGGAGGCAGCAGUGGGGAAUUUUCCGCAAUGGGCGAAAGCCUGACGGAGCAAUACCGCGUGAGGGAAGAAUGCCUAUGGGUUGUAAACCUCUUUUUUCAGGGAGGAAUAAAUGACGUGUACCUGAAGAAUAAGCAUCGGCUAACUCCGUGCCAGCAGCCGCGGUAAGACGGAGGAUGCAAGUGUUAUCCGGAAUCACUGGGCGUAAAGCGUCUGUAGGUGGUUUAAUAAGUCAACUGUUAAAUCUUGAGGCUCAACUUCAAAAUCGCAGCUGAAACUAUUAGACUAGAGUAUAGUAGAGGUAAAGGGAAUUUCCAGUGUAGCGGUGAAAUGCGUAGA